GGGCCGGCUGUAGCCCGGAUAAUGGUUGUACUGGCUGUUGGGGUACCCUUCGUGGGAGUUCUGCAGGGGGUCCAUGCUGCUGGGGGCCCCGGCGGCGGCUGAGGUAGACGCUUGAUUACUCUUGUUAGCUCAAGGACCAUCGUGUGGGCCUGAGAUUCAUAACUGCAGAGAGCAUCGCGGCGUUGCUCUGAACACGUUUAACGCUCGGGCACAUCACAUUCAGUCUGGUGGAUCCUUAUCCCAUUUCCUACUGGCUGGAAUCCAGGGUUUGUCACUGUGGAUCAUGUCACAGCAGGUUCCCCCACUCUGGCUCCAGGACCAAUCACCAACUGAUUUGCACUGGGUAGGGCAGCAUUUGGUGGGGUUCAAAAGCUGUGGCCAGAUGCUUUGAGACUGGACAUCCAUUCUCCUUUGCUGCUGGUCCUCCCGUUCUGUGCUGUACCUUGUAGCUGAGACCCAGGCCUCACUUGUCCAGCAGUUUUGCUAACCACAUCCUUUCUUGGUAUCGACUCCCAGCCACAGAAGCUUGCCUGUUGCCCUCUCCUUCUGAGCCUGGGGCUCUUCUUUGUGUGUACCACUGUAUCAGUUUGAGCUUUCCGCCCUCUAUUGGGACUGGGAGCUAGUCCCUCAACUCCUGGCUCAUUGCUGGGGCCUUGUUACCUGCUGACUUCUGUAUUCGAUGCUGCUUGUCUGCCUGGAUUUCCAAAUAUCAGCUUUCCACUUAUUGCACACCCCCAAGGCCUACUGCUUACCAAAAGUACUACAGUUCACAUUAAUUGAGUGCUUGCUGUGUGAUGGGGCGUGGUGCUAAGGACCCUACAUGCAUGAUCUCAUUUGGUCUUCAUGAGGAUCCUACAAGAUCUGCCUGCCCCCAGAGAAGGCACAUUCUUAUCUGCUUGUGUUCAGGUGGUAAACAAACAGCUUUACUGGGGACACUUGCUGUUGUCCCACUGUGCCAGCAGGGGCUAGUCCACCUAAUUCAGGAAUAAAGUAUCAGCAAGCCCAUCUGGCCACAGAUCUGAAAUCUCUUUCUCCAAUCAGCAUUAUUUGAAAUAAAACUAAUACAAUAUUUUGAUUUUCAAGUCUCUUAUUCUUGCCUCUUUCCACCCUUCUUUCUCCAUAUUGAUUCUGAAUUCAAAAGAAGAAUAGAAGUACUGUGUGUGGGAUACCCUGUAACCCUAAUAAGAAAGGCUAAUUUGGGGAGAUUUUUAAAGACUACUGAAACUAAUAAAUUAGACAAUGAUGACAUGGGAAGAGAGAGGAUAGAGCUAUUGUUUAACUUUAGUGUUUUUUAAAAUCAAAUGUGGCAUAUUCAAAAUUUAAGGCUAACCCCUAAAAGGGAUAAAAUACAUAUCUUCCAAAACACUGAAGGAGAAAAACAGGGGAUAAACUUAAGCAAUCUAGUAGAAAGCAUGAAAAAGAAAACCUCAAUUUAAAAAGAUGUGGUAAAUAGAAAAUAUAAAGUAAGAUGGUAGAAAUAAAUCCAAUAUCAGUAAUCCUAAUAAAUGCAAACAUUAAAUUCACCUGUUACAAAUCAGAGAUUAUCUAAAUUGAAAUACAAAUUUUAUCCAUUCUUCAAAAGCAUCAAACACAAUGAUCCUUAACAUUUGAAGUAAACUUAUGGAAAAAUAUUCCAGGUAAAUACUAAACAAAUAAAGUUGGUAAUGCAACAUUAAUUAUAUGAAAUAGAAUUUAAGGCAAUAAUAUUAGGUAUAAAGAGGAUCAUUAGUUAAUAAUAAAAAGAACAAUUACCAGAAAAUAUAAUAAUCCUGAACUUGCAUGCACCCAACAACAUAGCCUCAAAAAUACAUAAAGACAAACAGUAUAGUAGAAAUUAUUAAAUCUCAUAAUCACAGUAGAUAUUAUUAACACAUCUCUCAGAAACUAAUAAAGCAAGCCAAUAAAUAAUUAAAAAGCAUAAAAUGUCUUGAACACAAUAAGUUCUUUCUAACGGACAUAUACAGAGUCCUGCCCCAAAUAAUUAGAGAAAAAAAAUAAUUAAGAGUCACCACAAUCUAGCCACAACAAAUGCAUCAAUAAAUACCAAAGUAUCUAUUUCAUAUAGAUCACAUUUCAUAUCACAAUGCAAUAUAGUCAGAGAUUUAAAAAUCAAAAUUAUAUUUAGAAAUUUCUAUCAU